AUUGAACGCUGGCGGCAGGCUUAACGCAUGCAAGUCGAGCGGGGGAAGGUAGCUUGCUACCGGACCUAGCGGCGGACGGGUGAGUAAUGCUUAGGAAUCUGCCUAUUAGUGGGGGACAACAUCUCGAAAGGGAUGCUAAUACCGCAUACGUCCUACGGGAGAAAGCAGGGGAUCUUCGGACCUUGCGCUAAUAGAUGAGCCUAAGUCGGAUUAGCUAGUUGGUGGGGUAAAGGCCUACCAAGGCGACGAUCUGUAGCGGGUCUGAGAGGAUGGUCCGCCACGCUGGGACUGAGACACGGCCCAGACUCCUACGGGAGGCAGCAGUGGGGAAUAGUGGACANNGGGGGGAACCCUGANCCAGCCAUGCCGCGUGUGUGAAGAAGGCCUUAUGGUUGNAAAGCACUUUAAGCGAGGAGGAGGCUACUCUAGUUAAUACCUAGGNAUAGUGGACGUUACUCGCAGAAUAAGCACCGGCUAACUCUGUGCCAGCCGCCGCAGUAA
rnacentral:rRNA from 1 species